rnacentral:rRNA from 1 species
GGGUUGUGAGGUUAAGCGACUAAGCGUACACGGUGGAUGCCCUGGCAGUCAGAGGCGAUGAAGGACGUGCUAAUCUGCGAAAAGCGCCGGCGAGGUGAUAUGAACCUUUGACCCGGCGAUGUCCGAAUGGGGAAACCCAGUGCAAUCCGUUGCACUAUCGUUAACUGAAUACAUAGGUUAACGAGGCGAACCGGGGGAACUGAAACAUCUAAGUACCCCGAGGAAAAGAAAUCAACCGAGAUUCCCCCAGUAGCGGCGAGCGAACGGGGAGCAGCCCGGAGUCUGAAUCAGCUUGUGUGUUAGUGGAACGGUCUGGAAAGUCCGACGGUACAGGGUGAUAGUCCCGUACACGAAAGUGCACAUGCUGUGAACUCGAAGAGUAGGGCGGGACACGUGGUAUCCUGUCUGAAUAUGGGGGGACCAUCCUCCAAGGCUAAAUACUCCUGACUGACCGAUAGUGAACCAGUACCGUGAGGGAAAGGCGAAAAGAACCCCGGCGAGGGGAGUGAAAAAGAACCUGAAACCGUGUACGUACAAGCAGUGGGAGCCUCUUUAUGGGGUGACUGCGUACCUUUUGUAUAAUGGGUCAGCGACUUAUAUUCUGUAGCAAGGUUAACCGUAUAGGGGAGCCGAAGGGAAACCGAGUCUUAACUGGGCGUUAAGUUGCAGGGUAUAGACCCGAAACCCGGUGAUCUAGCCAUGGGCAGGUUGAAGGUUGGGUAACACUAACUGGAGGACCGAACCGACUAAUGUUGAAAAAUUAGCGGAUGACCUGUGGCUGGGGGUGAAAGGCCAAUCAAACCGGGAGAUAGCUGGUUCUCCCCGAAAGCUAUUUAGGUAGCGCCUCGUGAACUCAUCUUCGGGGGUAGAGCACUGUUUCGGCUAGGGGGCCAUCCCGGCUUACCAACCCGAUGCAAACUACGAAUACCGAAGAAUGUUAUCACGGGAGACACACGGCGGGUGCUAACGUCCGUCGUGAAGAGGGAAACAACCCAGACCGCCAGCUAAGGUCCCAAAGUCAUGGUUAAGUGGGAAACGAUGUGGGAAGGCACAGACAGCCAGGAUGUUGGCUUAGAAGCAGCCAUCAUUUAAAGAAAGCGUAAUAGCUCACUGGUCGAGUCGGCCUGCGCGGAAGAUGUAACGGGGCUAAACCAUGCACCGAAGCUGCGGCAGCGACACUAUGUGUUGUUGGGUAGGGGAGCGUUCUGUAAGCCGUUGAAGGUGUGCUGUGAGGCAUGCUGGAGGUAUCAGAAGUGCGAAUGCUGACAUAAGUAACGAUAAAGCGGGUGAAAAGCCCGCUCGCCGGAAGACCAAGGGUUCCUGUCCAACGUUAAUCGGGGCAGGGUGAGUCGACCCCUAAGGCGAGGCCGAAAGGCGUAGUCGAUGGGAAACAGGUUAAUAUUCCUGUACUUGGUGUUACUGCGAAGGGGGGACGGAGAAGGCUAUGUCAGCCGGGCGACGGUUGUCCCGGUUUAAGCAUGUAGGCGGAGGUUCCAGGUAAAUCCGGUACCUUAUUAACGCUGAGGUGUGAUGACGAGGCACUACGGUGCUGAAGUGAUAAAUGCCCUGCUUCCAGGAAAAGCCUCUAAGCAUCAGGUAACACGAAAUCGUACCCCAAACCGACACAGGUGGUCAGGUAGAGAAUACCAAGGCGCUUGAGAGAACUCGGGUGAAGGAACUAGGCAAAAUGGUGCCGUAACUUCGGGAGAAGGCACGCUGAUGUGUAGGUGAAGCCCCUGCGGGUGGAGCUGAAAUCAGUCGAAGAUACCAGCUGGCUGCAACUGUUUAUUAAAAACACAGCACUGUGCAAACACGAAAGUGGACGUAUACGGUGUGACGCCUGCCCGGUGCCGGAAGGUUAAUUGAUGGGGUUAGCGGCAACGCGAAGCUCUUGAUCGAAGCCCCGGUAAACGGCGGCCGUAACUAUAACGGUCCUAAGGUAGCGAAAUUCCUUGUCGGGUAAGUUCCGACCUGCACGAAUGGCGUAAUGAUGGCCAGGCUGUCUCCACCCGAGACUCAGUGAAAUUGAACUCGCUGUGAAGAUGCAGUGUACCCGCGGCAAGACGGAAAGACCCCGUGAACCUUUACUAUAGCUUGACACUGAACACUGGUCCUUGAUGUGUAGGAUAGGUGGGAGGCUUUGAAGCGUGGACGCCAGUCUGCGUGGAGCCAACCUUGAAAUACCACCCUUUAAUGGCUGGUGUUCUAACGUAGACCCGUAAUCCGGGUUGCGGACAGUGUCUGGUGGGUAGUUUGACUGGGGCGGUCUCCUCCCAAAGAGUAACGGAGGAGCACGAAGGUUGGCUAAUCCUGGUCGGACAUCAGGAGGUUAGUGCAAUGGCAUAAGCCAGCUUGACUGCGAGCGUGACGGCGCGAGCAGGUGCGAAAGCAGGUCAUAGUGAUCCGGUGGUUCUGAAUGGAAGGGCCAUCGCUCAACGGAUAAAAGGUACUCCGGGGAUAACAGGCUGAUACCGCCCAAGAGUUCAUAUCGACGGCGGUGUUUGGCACCUCGAUGUCGGCUCAUCACAUCCUGGGGCUGAAGUAGGUCCCAAGGGUAUGGCUGUUCGCCAUUUAAAGUGGUACGCGAGCUGGGUUUAGAACGUCGUGAGACAGUUCGGUCCCUAUCUGCCGUGGGCGCUGGAGAAUUGAGGGGGGCUGCUCCUAGUACGAGAGGACCGGAGUGGACGCAUCACUGGUGUUCGGGUUGUCAUGCCAAUGGCACUGCCCGGUAGCUAAAUGCGGAAGAGAUAAGUGCUGAAAGCAUCUAAGCACGAAACUUGCCCCGAGAUGAGUUCUCCCUGAGACUUUAAGUCUCCUGAAGGAACGUUGAAGACGACGACGUUGAUAGGUCGGGUGUGUAAGCGCAGCGAUGCGUUGAGCUAACCGAUACUAAUGAACCGUGAGGCUUAACCUUACAACGCCGAAGGUGUUU